rnacentral:misc_RNA from 1 species
UAGCUGCGUUAAGUGGUGUGAAUUGCAGGACACGCCGAACACUAAAUUUUCGAACGCAUAUUGCGGCUACGGGUUUCCCCGUAGCCUCGUCUGUCUCAGGGUCGGUUAAUUGACACAUAGUACGAGUCUGUUCGAUGUACGGCCUUCAGUUGCUAACAUCGUCGGACUUUGUUGAUGCGAUGCGUGCCGAGAUUGGCAGCGGUAUCGAUGCAGCGCCACGUGCUGUUUUCGCUCUGCCGUGUAAACAAUGUCAAUGUUAGGUACUGCUCGUAUGUACUGCCCAUACAAGUGCUGCGGCUUUUGUCGCAUGCUUUGUUUUUUAUUGUCGACCUGAGAUCAGUCGAGAUUACCCGCUGAAUUUAA